GCAUAUCAAUAAGCGGAGGAAAAGAAAGCAACUGCGAUUGCCCCAGUAACGGCGAAGUGAAGCGGCAUCAGCCCAGAUUUGGAAUCUGGCCCCCUUGCGGGGCCCGAGUUGUAAUCUGCAGAGGGAGCGCCUGGCCGAGCCCCCGCCUAGUGCCCUGGAACGGGCCGCCGCAGAGGGUGACAGCCCCGUGCGGCGGGCGGCGAAGCCUACACGGCGCCCCUUCGGAGAGUCGCGUAGUUUGGGAAUGCUGCGCAAAACGGGAGGUAUGCUCCUCCUAAGGCUAAAUACCGGCCGGAGACCGAUAGCGCACAAGUAGAGUGAUCGAAAGAUGAAAAGCACCUUGAAAAGGGGGUUAAAAAGUACGUGAAAUUGCUGAGGGGGAAGCUCCUGCAGCCAGACUCGCGCCCGGCGGAUCACCCGGCCUCCAGCCGGGGCGCUCUGCCGGGCGCGGGCCAGCGUCGGGCGGCGCCGGGGUGCAAUGGCGGCGGGAACGUGGCUCGCCUUCGGGCGAGCGUUAUAGCCCGCCGCGCGAUGCCCUGGGGCCGCCCGAGGACCGCGCCCUGCGUGGACGCUGGCGUAAUGGCUGCCGGCGGCCCGUCUUGAAACACGGAUUAGGGAGUCGUCCUGGCGCGCGAGUGUGCGGGUGUCAAGCCCCUGCGCGAAGUGAAAGCGAACGCUGGUAGGAAGCCCCCUCGCGGGGCCGCACUACCGACCGAUCCUGAUGUCCUCGGAUGGAUUUGAGUAUGAGCGUGCCGGGCCGGACCCGAAAGAGGGUGAACUAUGCUUGCGUAGGGCGAAGCCAGGGGAAACCCUGGUGGAGGCUCGCAGAGGUUUCUGACGUGCAAAUCGAUCUUCAAACGUGGGCAUAGGGGCGAAAGACUAAYCGAACCUUCUAGUAGCUGGGUGUACGUCGAA
rnacentral:rRNA from 1 species